rnacentral:rRNA from 1 species
GACGAACGCUGGCGGCGUGCUUAACACAUGCAAGUCGAACGCGCCUGUCCUCUGGGUUUCUGGGGGGUGGGUGAGUGGCGAACGGGUGAGUAACACGUGAGUAACGUGCCCCCUUCUUCGGGAUAACGGUCUGAAAGGGCUGCUAAUACCGGGUAUUCACUGGUCUCCGCAUGGGGUCUGGGGGAAAGGUUUUUUUCUGGUGGGGGAUGGGCUCGCGGCCUAUCAGCUUGUUGGUGGGGUGAUGGCCCACCAAGGCUUUGACGGGUAGCCGGCCUGAGAGGGUGACCGGUCACAUUGGGACUGAGAUACGGCCCAGACUCCUACGGGAGGCAGCAGUGGGGAAUAUUGCACAAUGGGCGCAAGCCUGAUGCAGCGACGCCGCGUGAGGGAUGGAGGCCUUCGGGUUGUGAACCUCUUUCGCCCGUGGUCAAGCCGCGACGUGGGUCGUGGUGAGGGUAGUGGGUAAAGAAGCGCCGGCUAACUACGUG